AUUGAACGCUGGCGGCAUGCCUUACACAUGCAAGUCGAACGGUAACAGGGAGCUUGCUCCGCUGACGAGUGGCGAACGGGUGAGUAAUAUAUCGGAACGUACCCAAGAGUGGGGGAUAACGUAGCGAAAGUUACGCUAAUACCGCAUACGAUCUAUGGAUGAAAGUGGGGGAUCGCAAGACCUCAUGCUCCUGGAGCGGCCGAUAUCUGAUUAGCUAGUUGGUGAGGUAAAGGCUCACCAAGGCGACGAUCAGUAGCUGGUCUGAGAGGACGACCAGCCACACUGGAACUGAGACACGGUCCAGACUCCUACGGGAGGCAGCAGUGGGGAAUUUUGGACAAUGGGCGCAAGCCUGAUUCAGCAAUGCCGCGUGAGUGAAGAAGGCCUUCGGGUUGUAAAGCUCUUUUGUCAGGGAAGAAACGGUAGAGGCUAAUAUCCUUUGCUAAUGACGGUACCUGAAGAAUAAGCACCGGCUAACUACGUGCCAGCCGCCGCGGUAACAC
rnacentral:rRNA from 1 species